AUUCAGCUGACGAGUCCCAAAUAAAGCGAAAAUCGCAUCCUGGAU
rfam:Schistosoma haematobium scaffold2287_8, whole genome shotgun sequence.